GAAAAACUCAUACUAAGAGUAUAUGGUGGAUGCCUUGACAUAAAAAGUCGAUGAAGGACGUGGUGUAACUACGAAAAGCCUCGGUGAGCCGUUAACAGGCCGUGACCCGGGGGUAUCCGAAUGGGGAAACCCUUCUGAGUAAACCUCAGAAAUUAUUAUCUGAAUUAAGUAGGGUAAUAAAGAGAACCUAGGGAAGUGAAACAUCUCAGUACCUAGAGGAAAAGAAAAAAAUGUUAAUAUUGAUAACGGUGGCAGACAUUAUUUAUUUAAUGCCUACAUCGGUAUCGGUAUUAUUUAUUCCCUGAGUAGUGGCGAGCGAAAUGGGAAAAGCCUAAACCUCUCGAUGCGUGACAUCGGAAUUUUCAAGCACCAAUUUUCAAGCACCAAACAAAAUUUAAAUAACCAAAAUUCAAAACUCCAAACAAAUUGGAAUUUAGAAAAUUGGGAUUUGGAAUUUGAUUGGGAUUUGGAAUUUGGGAUUUGGAGCUUCCGCUGUUGCGCAGCGGGUGGUGUUGCAAGGUGGGUGCGUUAUCGGAGUAAUCCGGUACAGAGCUAACUAAAUGUAAUUUGAUUAGUCAAAUGUUCCUGGAAAGGACGACCAAAGAGGGUGAUAGUCCCGUAGAUGAAAAUCAUUACAUGCUCUGAGUAUCUAUUCUUAAGUACCAUAGGGCCAGAGAAACCCUAUGGGAAUCCGGCAGUACUACUAACUUUGUCGCAAGACAAACUGCCAAGGCUAAAUACUUUUUAUGAUCGAUAGUGAACAAGUACCGUGAGGGAAAGGUGAAAAGUAGCCCGUUUAGGGCAGUGAAAUAGAAACUGAAAUCAUAUACUUACAACGAGUGGGAGCCUUGCUUCGGCAGGGUGACCGCGUGCUUUUUGCAGAACGAACCAACGAGUUUGCUAGGUAUUGCAAGUCUAAGCUCUUCGGAGCGGAGGCGUAGUGAAAGCGAGGGUUAAAUACCCGUUUAGCAAUACUUACAAGACCCGAAACCAGGUGAGCUAGCCAUGAGCAGGAUGAACCUCAACGAAAGUUGAGGGGAGGUCCGAACCCAUUAGCCGUGCAAUACUAUGGGAUGACUUGUGGUUAGGGAUGAAAUUUCAAUCGAACUUGGUAAUAGCUGGUUCUCUCCGAAAUAGCUAUAGGGCUAGCGUCCUUUGUUCCACUUUGGGGGUAGAGCACUGAAUGGACACGGCUGGACUUUUGUCUACCUUGUCCAAACAAACUCCGAAUACCAAAGUGCCAGAGAAGGGCAGUCAGAACGUGAGGGCUAAGCUUCACGCUCAAAAGGGGAACAGCCCAGAUCGUCGUCUAAGGUCCCUAAAUCUAUGCUAAGUGAUUUUAAGGAAGUGAGGUUUCUUAAACAGCUAGGAAGUUGGCUUAGAAGCAGCCAUCUUUUAAAGAGUGCGUAACAGCUCACUAGUCUACUGAAAUCUUGCGCCGAAAAUGUCCGGGGCUAAGCAUAGUACCGAAGACACGGGUUGUCAUGUCCUCCGGGAUGUGGCAGCGGUAGGAGAGCGUUCCAUACGCAGUGAAGUCUGAGCGCGAGUAAAGAUGGAGUGUAUGGAAGUGAGAAUGUUGGUAUGAGUAACAUGAAUUAUGGUGAGAAACCAUAACACCGAAAGCUUAAGGUUUCCUGGGCAACGAAAAUCAACCCAGGGUUAGUCGGUCCUAAGGCGAGGUCGAAAGACGUAGUCGAUGGAUAGCUGGUUAAUAUUCCAGCACUACUAUAUGUCAUGAUAUGGAAGGACGCAAUGUGGGAGGUUGGGCACAUUAUUGGAUUUGUGUCAAUAUCUUGUAGGCUGAUUCGCGAGGCAAAUCCCGUGGAUCUUUGAAAGCAAUUUCAUAAAAGCCGAGAGAUGUUGGAACUUCUGCCUAAGGGCGGGAGAACCUAACUGGGGUCAUGUUGCCAAGAAAAUUUUCUAAUUUAUCAUAUAGUAACCGUACCGCAAUCCGACACAGGUGAGCAGGCAUCAGCGUGCCAAGGUGUACGGGAGAACUCUUGUUAAGGAAUUCGGCAAAACAACGGCCGUAACUUCGGGAUAAGGCCUGCCUAUCGCAAGAUAGGCUGCAAUAAAAGAAAUCAGGGCGACUGUUUAACAAAAACACAGGUCUAUGCUAACCCGCAAGGGGAUGUAUAUGGGCCGACGCUUGUCCAGUGUCAGAACGUUAAGGUUGGAAGUGAAAGCUUUCGGCUGAAGCGCUGAUGAACGACAGCGGUAACUAUAACCGUUCUAAGGUAGUGGAUUUACUUAAGGAAGUGAAUUCACUAGGAUUGGAACGGCUAUAGGGAGAACAGUCAAGGAAAAAAAGUAGCUGCCCAUUUCUGUAAAAAGAAAUGUCCAUUUGGCCAUAUGCUGGAAACUCUGGUGAAUCUGAUGUUACUAUGGUAUAAUACGCACAUAGACAAUAUGAGAAAAUAUUAUGCCGAGUAAAAAUACAUUCAGUGCAGACAAUCAGCAGGAAAGGCCAGAAAUAUUAUAAUAUUUCUGGAAUCCUCAGAGAUCAAACGCCAAAACCAUUGAUAGAAAGAUGGUAAGAUAUGACCCUAUCUCUAUGGCGACAUAGAGGGAUAUCAACAAAUAUCCAUUUCGUUUAAUGACGGAAUAAAAACAAAUGAGCGAAAUUCCUUGUCACUUAAUUAGUGACGUGCAUGAAUAGCGGAACGACCCUGGUACUGUCUCAACAAGUGACCCGGUGAAAUCGCAUUAACAGUGAAGAUGCUGUUUACCUGCAGCUAGACGAAAAGACCCUAUGAAGCUUUACUAUAACUUGGUAUUGAGCCAAAUUUUGAAAUGCUUAGAAUAGGUGGGAGACUUCGAUCCUUAAUCUCCGGAUUAAGGGGAGUCGCAAUAUGAAAUACCACUCUUUUUACAAUUUUGUUCUAACCUCAUACCGUAAUCCGGUAUAGGAACAGUGCCUGGCGGGUAGUUUGACUGGGGCGGUUGCCUCCUAAAAAGUAACGGAGGCGUUUAAAGGUCGGCUAGGCGCGGAUGGAAAUCGCGCUGAUAGCGCAAAAGCAUAAGCCGGCUUUACUGUGAGACUGACGGGUCGAACAGUUGCGAAAGCAGAAUUUAGUGAUCCGAUGUGUCCAUGUAGGUGGCACAAAGCUCAACGGAUAAAAGCUACUCUAGGGAUAACAGGCUAGUCCAGUCCAAGCGUCCAUAGCGACGACUGGGUUCGGCACCUCGAUGUCGGCUCAUCGCAUCCUGGGGGUGAAGAAGCUCCCAAGGGUUUGGCUGUUCGCCAACUAAAGCGGUACGUGAGCUGGGUUCAAACCGUCGUGAGACAGGUUGGACUCCUAUCUACUGCAGGCGUAGAUACUUGCGAGAACUCUUUUCUAGUACGAGAGGACCGAAAAGAACGAACCUCUGGUGCACCAAUUGUCAUGCCAAUGGCAUAGUUGGGUAGCUAAGUUCGGACGAGAUAAACGCUGAAAGCAUAUAAGCGUGAAACUCAUCUCAAGAUUAGGUAUCAUAGAUUCCAGAGAGAUGAUCUGGUAAAAUUCUGUCGCAAGACAGAACUGAUAGGGUGCAGGUGUAAGUGUAGCAAUACAUUCAGCCGAGCACUACUAAUGAAUCAUUGGAGUUUUUCAU
rnacentral:rRNA from 1 species